rnacentral:rRNA from 1 species
AUACAUGCAAGUCGAGCGAACUGAUUAGAAGCUUGCUUCUAUGACGUUAGCGGCGGACGGGUGAGUAACACGUGGGCAACCUGCCUGUAAGACUGGGAUAACUUCGGGAAACCGAAGCUAAUACCGGAUAGGAUCUUCUCCUUCAUGGGAGAUGAUUGAAAGAUGGUUUCGGCUAUCACUUACAGAUGGGCCCGCGGUGCAUUAGCUAGUUGGUGAGGUAACGGCUCACCAAGGCAACGAUGCAUAGCCGACCUGAGAGGGUGAUCGGCCACACUGGGACUGAGACACGGCCCAGACNCCUACGGGAGGCAGCAGUAGGGAAUCUUCCGCAAUGGACGAAAGUCUGACGGAGCAACGCCGCGUGAGUGAUGAAGGCUUUCGGGUCGUAAAACUCUGUUGUUAGGGAAGAACAAGUACAAGAGUAACUGCUUGUACCUUGACGGUACCUAACCAGAAAGCCACGGCUAACUACGUGCCAGCAGCCGCGGUAAUAC